GCCCCCCGCCCCUCCCGGCAGCAUCGCCCGCGCGUCCCCGCACGAGUCGCUGUACGACACCGCCGCCAUAUACGGCCUCUCGGCCAUGGACGGAGUCCCUUUCACACUACACCCCAAAUUCGAAAGCAAGCUCGGGUCUGGCAGUAACACUAUCCUCGCGGACCUGAACGUGAAGUCGCUUGCCGAUAUCGAGGAAGAGUACAAUUACGCUUUCGUCGUCGAAAGAACGGCCGCUGCCCGGCUCCCGCCCAGCAUCUGUUAGCGCCAGAGUCUCCCUCGGGGAUGUAAAACCGCAGCCAAAGCAGCGGGGCUCAGCUCCUCUCCCCCUCCCAAGAUUAAAUUUCAGGCUACCCGAAGCAACGCAAUCAGUAUCUGAUCACCGAAAUCGCUUAGGGAGGAAAAAAAAAAAAUAAUAAUGAAUUAAACGCCUUUCUCUUCUCACCUGCCAAACCCUUUUUUGCGACGGUUUCGAAGCACGGGCUUUCGGGCACGGCAGCUUUAACGCCUCCGAGCGUCUCGGCAGCUCCAUCCUGUGCCUUCCCUUCCUCCAAAGGUUUCCACAGCGUUUCCGUUGCGGCAGAAUUCCAACCCCCUCGGCCUCACCUGGGCUUUGGCGGGGGUUUUAACUCCUACGCUCUCCUCGGCUGUGGAAAAAAAAUCAAACCUCGCCAAGCUUUCGGCCCCGCAAAGGAAGCUCGAAACGCGUUUCAAAAGACAGCGGCUUCUGCUUUUUAGUUACCAAAUUCUGUAAACGUUUCCUUAAACGUUAGGGCAGUACAAAACUCCCGGCGCUUGGUGGUGCUACGUCCUGGAAACAUUAAAAAGUCACGUCUUGGUUUCACAGCGGUGGAUUCCACGGGAUUUGGAAG